CACAGAGAAUAAUAUAUUUGUCACAUGUCAUUUACUGAAUGAGAAAUAAAGAGGUGAGGACUGAGAGUAAUCACUCUAACAGAGAGAGGAACAAGUGAGCCAUAGAGAACAGACAGAGAGGGGAGGAGAGAGAGGGAGAGAGAAGAGAACUCUUAGCCACCCCACUUAACCAUCCUCAGGCGUGUCGCUUAGCAGUUCUGCAUCUCGUUGUUAUCAGAGAGUACAAGUAGGCUACAGAUUGUCAAAGAAAGCACUGUCUUUGUACUAUUCUCCACAUCCCACUGUAACUCUUAAAUUCCCCGGGGCUGGACUUCAUACAGAACAGCAAGAGGUAGAACAGUCAUCGGUGGAUAGAGAUUGACGUUGAACUACAGACCGUAGAUAACCUGGGGCUGGAAUAGACUACUAUGGAGUCAGCACAGAAUAAAGCUCAACCAACUUCUCCUAAUAAACAGACAGUGAAGAACAGGUCCAAGUCAACAGAUGAGAUUCAACAAGCCAAAAAGGCUUUUCAUACGACACAGAAAUCGUUGCCAGGGAAGCCGGAGACUGAGAAUAAGGAACCCCCAGAGAGUCCAUCCUCAUCAGAAGAACUGAAAUGAAGGGGCAGACAGUGCCAGGCAGAGAGUCGUCUGCAGUUUGUAUUCUCAUAACGAUAAAAAACUCUGUCCAUUUUUUGUAAACGUCUUAUGAAUGUGGUUGUUUACUAAAUAAGAAAAAGUGUCAAAUGUAUUGCUUGGGAGGAUAUAAUUAGAGUUCCAAGAAUGAAUAGAGACUUACUCUACCAAACACAGGCACUUAACAGAAAGCAUUCGUUGUAAUUAAAUUGAGUGGAAAACAUAUGUGCAUGUGUCAGUUGGGAUCUGUGUGAGCAUGCAGUAUAGUGGAUCUAACACAUUUGUUAUGUACUUUCUCCUAAAACACUUUUUUUUUGGAACUGAUGUCAGAAUUAAUGUCUGUAUACCACUUUGAAAAUGUGAACCAAUUGAACCUGUAAAUAAACCUUGUGUAUG